UGUAUUCUGUUGGUGAAUCUUGUAUCUAUGGCUCCUUGUCUCUUCUUUUGGUUUUCUAUAUCCAGGGUUGUUUCCAUGUGUUCUUUCUUGAUUUCUUCUAUUUCCAUUUUUAGUUCCUUCAACUGUUUGAGUUUUCCUGGAAUUCUUUCAGGGACUUUUGUGAUUCCUCUCUGUAGGCUUCUACUUGUUUAUUUAUGUUUUCCUGUGUUUCUCUAAGGGAGUUCUUCAUGUCUUUCUUGAAGUCAUCCAGCAUCAUGAUCAAAUAUGAUUUUAAAUCUAGAUCUUGCCUUUCUGGUGUGUUUGGAUAUUCCAUGUUUGCUUUGGUGGGAGAAUUGGGCUCUGAUGAUGCCAUGUAGUCUUGGUUUCUGUUGCUUGCGUUCUUGCCCUUGCCUCUCACCAUCAGAUUAUCUCUAGUGUUACUUUGUUCUGCUAUUUCUGACAGUGGCUAGACUGUCCUAUAAGCCUGUGUGUCAGGAGUGCUGUAGUCCUGUUUUCCUGUUUUCUUUCAGUCAGUUAUGGGAACAGAGUGUUCUGCUUUCGGGCGUGUAGUUUUUCCUAUCUACAGGUCUUCAGGUGUUCCUGUGGGCCUGUGUCUUGAGUUCACCAGGCAGGUCGCUUGGAGCAGGAAGGUUUGUCUUACCUGUGGUCCCGAGGCUCAAGUUUG
rnacentral:lncRNA from 1 species